CCUACGGGAGGCAGCAGUGAGGAAUAUUGGUCAAUGGGCGGGAGCCUGAACCAGCCAAGCCGCGUGAGGGAAGAAGGUACAGCGUAUCGUAAACCUCUUUUGUCAGGGAACAAAGGCGGGGACUAGUCCCCGGAUGAUGGUACCUGAAGAUAAAGCAUCGGCUAACUCCGUGCCAUCAGCCGCGGUAAUACGGAGGAUGCGAGCGUUAUCCGGAUUUAUUGGGUUUAAAGGGUGCGCAGGGGGCCUGUUAAGUCAGCGGUAAAAGCCCGGGGCUCAACCCCGGCGAGCCGUUGAAACUGGCGGGAUGGAGUUGGAGAGAAGUACGCGGAAUGCGCGGUGUAGCGGUGAAAUGCUUAGAUAUCGCGCAGAACCCCGAUUGCGAAGGCAGCGUACCGGCUCCACACUGACGCUGAGGCACGAAAGCGUGGGUAUCGAACAGGAUUAGAUACCCUAGUAGUC
rnacentral:rRNA from 1 species